CAAUCAACAUCUCCUUAUGAAUACACUGUUACAUCCUAAAAUGAACAAAGGAAGAAAGAUAAACGCAUCAGCCAAAGUGGCUGUCCAGCUCUGACACAGCCACUGAGCCUGACACACAUCGUUGUUGGCAGCAGCGCAAAUUAGUGCUCCAGUGACAGCCACCCCGUGGCAGAAAUGCCUUUGCAAGUUAGGAUGCUCAGAGAUCUGUAAGCCUGGGGAAAGCACAGCCUGGAGAGAUGGAGCCGUGGCAAGCCGAGAGAGGUGAGGACAACUGGAAAACCCGACAAGAAACAUCAAAAGAGAAAUAUGAAGCUGAGAUUUGAAAAGACUGAGAUGGGGGGGAAUUUCAGAUAUCCUGUCAAUGAAGGGAGGAGCCUUUGGUCAUUCCAGUGGUUCAACAAACUUCUGUGGCUACCUUGGUAUGUUCUUACUUGUUUCCUCAUGUCCAUUUCUUCUGUUGUAAGCAUCCUCCAAGGAUCAGGUUUGGUUACUAUCAGACUACAAGGCCAUGGCUGGCUUGUAAAUUUGUCAUGAAGAAGAUGAGAAUAACAUCAGUUCAUCUGAUUGCCAUAUCUAUGAUCUGUAGAUCCUGGGAUUGUGUAUUCUAGUAUCUGGGCAUAUACAGGUUGAUAUGACAGACAGACUCAUGAGACAAGGGAGGAUUGGCUUAAAAACCAGAUAAAACAGUUGUGGUUACUAUGGAAACACAUCUCUCUCUUGGUCCUUCUGCAUACCAGCACAAAGUUUCUUUCUGAGGCCUUUUAUAGAUCUAAUCUCCUUUUCCUACUAGCGUAAACCACAAUGAUUUCAUUCACAGUAUGUAAUUUUGCUGACACCAGUAGGUGUUUUCUACAGUCCAUCUUCUUUUUGUUAAUCCAUGCUACUUGUAACCUGAAUGAUGUUGAUUUUUAGGAAGUGUAGGUACAUUUCAGGAAAUGUAAUAAACCACAGAAAAAACACA
rnacentral:lncRNA from 1 species